rnacentral:rRNA from 1 species
UACGUAGGGUGCGAGCGUUGUCCGGAAUUAUUGGGCGUAAAGGGCUCGUAGGCGGUUUGUCGCGUCGGGAGUGAAAUCCACUGGCUUAACUGGUGGCUUGCUUCGAUACGGGCAGACUGGAGGUAUGCAGGGGAGAACGGAAUUCCUGGUGUAGCGGUGAAAUGCGCAGAUAUCAGGAGGAACACCGGUGGCGAAGGCGGUUCUCUGGGAAUGUCCUGACGCUGAGGAGCGAAAGUGUGGGGAGCGAACAGG